rnacentral:lncRNA from 1 species
AUGCUAGUGUCGUGUGUGAACACAUUCCAAGCUGCACAUCUGCAGUGCCUGUCUUACAGCGUGCCGUGGUCACUGUCUAGAGGGAUUCGGUUCUCUCUCCCAGAUCCCGGACAAGCACGUGCCUGUUCGCUGGUCACUGAAAUCUACGUGUUCAGCGGAGCUUUCGUCUGGCUUGUUAUUCCACAGGACAGAUCACCACAUCAUGACCUGACCAGUGUUCUCCAUGAACAGGUGCAGAAAGUGUUGAGCAGCCCACCCCUGAAGCUUGAUUCACCACGAAGAGAAGCAAAGUGUUUCCCAAGACCUUUUAAGCCAGACCGUGUCAAAGACUCAAGGAGCCUUGUUGCCAGGGGGAACACACCGGAGUCUGUCUUUGGUGCUUUAAUAAACAAAAGUGCUUCACUUCCUUAUGGUGUUAUGGAUGUCUUAUUUCAAUUGCCGCUUCUCUGCUUUGUUCCAGGUCUGCCCUCUGGUGGUAGUGGGGUGGGGCUAGGUAUGGCUCCUCCCCAAACAGGGAGAUAGCCAAAAUUUGGGCCCGUUCCUGGGGGAAACAGGUGGGGAGUAGCUAGGAGGGCAGAGGG